UACGUAGGGGUGCAAGCGUUGUCCGGAAUUAUUGGGCGUAAAGAGCUCGUAGGCGGCCUGUUGCGUCUGCUGUGAAAUCCCGGGGCUCAACCCCGGGCGUGCAGUGGAUACGGGCGGGCUAGAGGCAGGCAGGGGGAGAACGGAAUUCCCGGUGUAGCGGUGAAAUGCGCAGAUAUCGGGAGGAACACCGGUGGCGAAGGCGGGUCUCUGGGGCAGUAACUGACGCUGAGGAGCGAAAAGCGUGGGGGAGCGAACAGG
rnacentral:rRNA from 1 species